GUUCGAAAGUCAUUAAUCGAUUGGAGAAAAUAUAUCCGGGUUACAAACUAAAACCGAGUGAAACACAUAAGAGGAAAACAACGAAACAACACAAACACUAGUGUGCAACAAAACAAUACUUAAUAUUUCAUUUUCACCAAAUUAUUCUGUGUCUGAUAUAUUCAUAGAGUUAAAAAAGUGACAUUUAUAUACGGAAAACAGAAAAUGACAAUUUCUAUAAAUAAGAUUCAUCAGACGAAAUGUUCUGACCGUGUUAUUUGUGUGACAGCUAUAUAAGAUGGGACAGUAAAUUAAGUAAUUUUGUAGACUUUUCUACACUGAUUAACAUUAUAUCGUGAGUUUUUA
rnacentral:lncRNA from 1 species